rnacentral:rRNA from 1 species
GACGAACGCUGGCGGCGUGCUUAACACAUGCAAGUCGAACGAAGUGGCGAACGGGUGAGUAACGCGUAAUCAACCUGCCCUUCAGAGGGGGACAACAGUUGGAAACGACUGCUAAUACCGCAUACUGAAGGAGGGGAUUGCGUCUGAUUAGCUAGUUGGAGGGGUAACGGCCCACCAAGGCGAUGAUCAGUAGCCGGUAUGAGAGGAUGAACGGCCACAUGGGGACUGAGACAGGGCCCAGACGCCUACGGGAGGCAGAAGUGGGGGAUAGUGCACAAUGGGAGAAAGCCUGAUGCAGCGAGGCCGCGUGGGGGAUGAAGGAUUUCGGGUUGUAAACCUCUUUCGCUAUCGAAAGGGUAGGUGGAGAAGAAGCGCCGGCUAACUACGUGCCAGCAGCCGCGGUAAUUC